UACGAAGGGGGCUAGCGUUGCUCGGAAUCACUGGGCGUAAAGGGUGCGUAGGCGGGUUUUUAAGUCAGGGGUGAAAUCCUGGAGCUCAACUCCAGAACUGCCUUUGAUACUGGCGAUCUUGAGUCCGGAAGAGGUGAGUGGAACUCCUAGUGUAGAGGUGGAAUUCGUAGAUAUUAGGAAGAACACCAGUGGCGAAGGCGGCUCACUGGUCCGGUACUGACGCUGAGGUGCGAAAGCGUGGGGAGCAAACAGG
rnacentral:rRNA from 1 species